rnacentral:ncRNA from 1 species
UUUCGGUUGUUAGUUUAUGCUAACAUUGAAAGGGAAUCUUGUGAAAUUCAAGAACUAUACCCGUAGCUGUAAGCUUUUAAAGCAAUUUGCACAAAGUCACUGUUCAUUAAAAAAAAGGGAAUGGGAAGGCGCAGAUUGUAUGAAGUAAGUCAGAAGACCUGCCAAUUUGCA